rnacentral:rRNA from 1 species
AUGGAAAUUCCAGUGAUAAAGAUGGAUGAGCUGCAUGGCGAGAAGAGAUCAGAGACACUUGCGCUUCUCCAUGAUGCCUGUGCACAAUGGGGAUUCUUUUGGCUGGAGAAUCAUGGAAUCAAUGAUGACCUCAUGGACAGAACCAAGAAACUGGUGAAUAAACACUAUGAGCAAAACAUGGAGAAGAACUUCUACAGUUCUGAGAUAGCAAAAACCAUUGGUCCCGACAAAGUCACCUCAAAUGUUGACUGGGAAUGCAGCUUCAUGUAUCAUCACCAGCCAAAAUCAAACAUUCAUGACAUUCCGGAGCUGCUUCGUACUACAGUUCCUGAAUAUGCUGAAGAAGUAGUCAAGUUGGCCGAGCAGCUAGCAGAAGUCAUGAGUGAAAAUCUUGGGCUGGACAAGAAUUACUUGAAGAAAGCUUUCACUAAGCCUUCCAUAGGCAUAAAGGUGGCAAAAUACCCCAGGUGUAGCCAUCCAGAAGUAGUGAUGGGACUCCGUGGACACACCGAUGCUGGGGGAAUCAUACUUCUAUUUCAAGAUGACUUGGUCCCAGGUUUGCAGUUCAUGAAAGAUGGUAGGUGGAUCUCAAUACCACCAACAAAAGGAAAUAGAAUUUUCGUAAACCUCGGAGAUCAGAUUGAAGUGAUAAGCAAUGGAAUAUAUAAGAGCAUUUGCCAUCAGGUACUUCCCAAUCAGAACGGGAGCCGCCUAUCUAUUGCGACAUUCUAUAACCCAGGUGCAGAUGCUAUAAUCUUCCCAGCUCCAAAUCUCACAUAUCCUAGCCAAUACCGUUUCCAAGACUACCUUAAUUUCUAUUCUGCUACCAAGUUUACAGACAAGGUAUCAAGGUUCCAAACUACGAAGAUGGUAUUCAAAUGA